CCUCCCGGCGCGCCCCAACCUGGCGGGGACUGCGGCCUCUGGCGCUCCCGAGGGUGGGAGCAGUGGGCGGUCGGGGUCGCCUCGGUCUACUCGCGUGGGCACUCCCUGAAGUCCCCUGUGGGAAUCCUGGAAUCUCCGGCGAUUCGCUCCGCUGCCGCCAUCAUCGAUACUAAAGGAAAACUUUCUGAAGCUUGAUUAUGGCGCUGGAAGUGCAGCUCUGAGAUGGUGAUUGCCUGGCAUGCCCAAGGCCCUGUGCUCCACGAAGAACUGGGGGGCGGGCGGGCGGCGCUCAGUUGGCUCCAAGAAAUUCUCCCAGGGCUGUCAAUCUCUUGUUCCAGCUCAAUGCUUGCUCUCCUCUCAACACGGUGGUAGACUGUGCUCCACUUGCUGGUCCCCGCCUGAGGUCCCGCUCACUGUCCCUGUAGUCCAUUGUGUUCACAUUGUUGAAAGUGGUGAGCCCUGCUAAUCCAACUCCAAGCCCACUGAUUUAUUUUGUCCUCUCUAGUCUGUUCUGAUCCCAUCCAGUGUAUUUUCUAUUUUUAUUUCAUACAAAAGACUCUCAGUAUAUUCACAUUUAGGAACAGGCCAGGGAAGGGUGAUGAAGAAUGGGGCAGGGUUUUCUGCAAGCAGUUGGUGCACAGGGGCUGCUCUCCUGAGCUGUCCUGUUCAGGAUGGUCAGAGAGCAGUAUUCUUCAGAGAAUUGAAAGGCAAAGGUGGUGGGUCCUCUCAACCCCCAGGCGGGCCCUGGGCCACCCGCUUUCCACUACCUGGUACCACCACACCUCUAGCUUCAUAGCAACCCUUGGCUGGCACUCCUGGAGACGUGAGCCCGUCACUCAAGUUGUCAGGUCUGCCGUCGCGGAAGAAAAAAUCUGCCUGUUGGAGUACGUCAGAGCUGGCAGGUGACAAUACCUUGGAAGGCUACAGAACCUUCAGGAAGUGGAGCCUGACUGGGAGAAGCUAUCACUGGGACUGAGCCUCUGCAGGGUGCUGCUUGGCCUGUAGUUGUAGAACUCUGUCUGUAAUCACAAGAGGUGCCUCUGCUAACAUACUUCCUUCUCUGCUGCGGUGGACUGAGACUCUCGGAAAUGCUGAGCCAAAACUAAACAUUUCCUCCCUAAGUUGGUUCUUCCUGUUGUUUGGUAACACAAACAGACACAAAAGCAAUGCACAAGGUUUUCUCCAUUCUCCAUAUAAUAAAAGUACAUUUUUAUGCUGUACUAUUGAAGUUUAGUUUUUACCUGUUAUAUUAAA